GACGAACGCUGGCGGCGUGCUUAACACAUGCAAGUCGAACGGAAAGGCCCUGCUUUUGUGGGGUGCUCGAGUGGCGAACGGGUGAGUAACACGUGAGUAACCUGCCCUUGACUUUGGGAUAACUUCAGGAAACGGGGGCUAAUACCGGAUAGGAGCUCCUGCGGCAGGGGGGGGGUGGGAAAGUUUCGGCGGUUGGGGAUGGACUCGCGGCUUAUCAGCUUGUUGGUGGGGUAGUGGCUUACCAAGGCUUUGACGGGUAGCCGGCCUGAGAGGGUGACCGGCCACAUUGGGACUGAGAUACGGCCCAGACUCCUACGGGAGGCAGCAGUGGGGAAUAUUGCACAAUGGGCGGAAGCCUGAUGCAGCAACGCCGCGUGCGGGAUGACGGCCUUCGGGUUGUAAACCGCUUUCGCCUGUGACGAAGCGUGAGUGACGGUAAUGGGUAAAGAAGCACCGGCUAACUACGUG
rnacentral:rRNA from 1 species